GACGAACGCUGGCGGCGUGCUUAACACAUGCAAGUCGAACGGAAAGGCCCUGCUUUUGUGGGGUGCUCGAGUGGCGAACGGGUGAGUAAUACGUGAGUAACCUGCCCUUGACUUUGGGAUAACUUCAGGAAACUGGGGCUAAUACCGGAUAGGAGCUCCUGCUGCAUGGUGGGGGUUGGAAAGUUUCGGCGGUUGGGGAUGGACUCGCGGCUUAUCAGCUUGUUGGUGGGGUAGUGGCUUACCAAGGCUUUGACGGGUAGCCGGCCUGAGAGGGUGACCGGCCACAUUGGGACUGGGAUACGGCCCAGACUCCUACGGGAGGCAGCAGUGGGGAAUAUUGCACAAUGGGCGGAAGCCUGAUGCAGCAACGCCGCGUGCGGGAUGACGGCCUUCGGGUUGUAAACCGCUUUCGCCUGUGACGAAGCGUGAGUGACGGUAAUGGGUAAAGAAGCACCGGCUAACUACGUG
rnacentral:rRNA from 1 species